CUGCUGCGUCGUCUUAAUCCUUGGCCUCUUCCUGCCGCUUCAGGUGGAGGAGUCCAGUCUUUGUGGUACGUGCACUCCUUUCCAGAGGCUGGUGUUUCUCAGGAACCUUCAGGCCACGGAUUAGAUGAGCAGGACAUCCACACACAAGAGAAAAGAACUCUGAAAUCUGCUGUCGCCCCCCAUUUCUCGGGGUCUACGAACGGCAGUUUGAGGUUUCCUCUGCCUCUGCCCGCCUUUACGAUGGGGAGUCUGCAGGCAGAGAAGCCCCCCGCGGUCCUCCGGGGGCAGAGCUGAGGCUGGGUUUUCACAGGCGCUGAAGUAGGGACACAGCGAGACCUGAAUCAACGGAGUUUAUUACUCGUAGCCAGUGGUCACGUGGCCCUUCACUGGAUACCAUCAGAUGAGGGUACAAGAGCUGUGAUGUCAUGCAGACAGGAACGUGGAAGGACAGGCCAGGACUGGGUGCAGGUUUGUGCUGGCAGCAGGCACCUCCAGGCGUCCCGUCCGUACGUGGGCCACAUGGUUCUCACACAGAAAUCUCCGGCUCGGGGCUGCUGGGCCACCCCCAGCGGCACGCAGGCCGCACUGCGUCCCCACCACCCUGUGGCCCAGGGGCUUGUCCUUUCGCGGCACCUCAGCCGCCCUUGUGUGGCGCCAGGAAGUGGUAUUUGCGGGCAGUACUUCCUCUGGGUGGUUUCCUUCUCCUGUUCUGUGGUCGGACCAGCUUGCCAGCCCCCCUGCCCCUAGUUGCAAGUGGUCAUAUAGUCUUUCAGAAAAUGUAACAUUUAAAACUUUUACUGUGUGUUUUGGGUGCUAAUAGGCAGGGUAUCAGGUGAGUUGUUACUGAUUUCCAGACAGGAACAGAAGGCAGGAGGAUCACAUUUGUAC